rnacentral:rRNA from 1 species
AUUGAACGCUGGCGGCGUGCUUUACGCAUGCAAGUCGAGCGGCAGCAUGGGGGCAACCCUGAUGGCAAGCGGCGAACGGGUGAGUAAUACAUCGAGACGUACCUUGUAGAGAGGGAUAACGCAUCGAAAGAUGUGCUAAUACCGCAUAAACUCCGAGGAGCAAAGGUGGGGCUCAGAAAUGACCUGCCGCUACAAGAGCGGUCGAUGUUCGAUUAGCUAGUUGGUGUGGUAAAGGCAUACCAAGGCAAUGAUCGAUAGCUGUUCUGAGAGGAAGAUCAGCCACACUGGGACUGAGACACGGCCCAGACUCCUACGGGAGGCAGCAGUGGGGAAUAUUGGACAAUGGGGGCAACCCUGAUCCAGCAACGCCGCGUGAAUGAAGAAGGCCUUCGGGUUGUAAAGUUCUUUUGCCCGAGAGCAAAGCAUGUGGAGUAAAAUAUCAUAUGUAUGAGAGUAUCGGAAGAAUAAGCACCGGCUAACUACGUGCCAGCCGCCGCCGUAAGAC